AUUUCAGAGAUGAAGUGUUCGCAGUGUUGUCAGGAAGGAGGAAGGUGUAAUGACCUUCCAGCUACCAGAUCAAACCAGAACCAGGAUUCUCAGAAUGCAGAAGGGUUUGAAGAAACUUCUUUCAAUUGAUCAAACCUGAACCAGAAAACCGAGUAAUCA